UGUGCUUGUAGCUCAAUCGGAUAGAGCACCAAACUACGGAUUUGGGGGUUGAGAGUUCGAAUCUUUCCAAGCAUGG
rnacentral:tRNA from 1 species